rnacentral:rRNA from 1 species
GACGAACGCUGGCGGCGUGCUUAACACAUGCAAGUCGAACGGAAAGGCCCUGCUUUUGUGGGGUGCUUGAGUGGCGAACGUGUGAGUAACACGUGAGUAACCUGCCCUUGACUUUGGUAUAACUUCAGGAAAUUGGGGCCAAUACCGGAUAGGAGCUCCUGCUGCACGGUGGGGGUUGGAACGUUUCGGCGGUCGGGGAUGGACUCGCGGCUCAUCAGCUUGUUGGUGGGGUAGUGGCUUACCAAGCCUUUGACGGGUAGCCGGCCUGAGAGGGUGACCGGCCACAUUGGGACUAAGGUACGGCCCAGUAUCCUAAGGGGGGCAGCAGUGGGGGAUAUUACAAAAUGGGAGGAAGCCUGAUGCAGCAACGCGGCGUGCGGAAUGACGGCCUUCGGGUUGUAAACCGCUUUCGCCUGUGACGAAGCGUGAGUGACGGUCAUGGGUCAAGAAGCACCGGCUAACUACGUG